rnacentral:sRNA from 1 species
GCCAGGCAUGGUGGCGCAUGCCUGUAGUCCCAGCUACUCGGGAGGCUGAGGCAGUAGGAUCGCUUGAGCCCAGGAGUUUGAGGUUGCUGUGAGCUAGGCUGAUGCCAUGGCACUCACUCUAGCCUGGGCAACAAAGCGAGACUCUGUCUCAAGAAAAAAGAAACAUUAGCUGGGUAUCAUGGCGCAUGCCCAUAGUCCUAGCUACUGAGGAGGCUGAGGCAGGAGGAUUGUUUGAGCCCAGGAGUUUGAGGUUGCUGUGAGCUACGGUGACAUCACUGCAGUCUAGCCUGGGCAACAGAGUGAGACCCUUUCUCA